UAGCUUGCUACUUUGCUGACGAGCGGCGGACGGGUGAGUAAUGCUNGGGAACAUGCCUUGAGGUGGGGGACAACAGUUGGAAACGACUGCUAAUACCGCAUAAUGUCUACGGACCAAAGGGGGCUUCGGCUCUCGCCUUUAGAUUGGCCCAAGUGGGAUUAGCUAGUUGGUGAGGUAAUGGCUCACCAAGGCAACGAUCCCUAGCUGGUUUGAGAGGAUGAUCAGCCACACUGGAACUGAGACACGGUCCAGACUCNUACGGGAGGCAGCAGUGGGGAAUAUUGCACAAUGGGCGAAAGCNCUGAUGCAGCCAUGCCGCGUGUGUGAAGAAGGCCUUCGGGUUGUAAAGCACUUUCAGUCAGGAGGAAAGGGUGUGAGUUAAUACCUCACAUCUGUGACGUUACUGACAGAAGAAGCACCGGCUAACUCCGUGCCAGCAGCCGCGGUAAUACGGAGGGUGCGAGCGUUAAUCGGAAUUACUGGGCGUAAAGCGUACGCAGGCGGUUUGUUAAGCGAGAUGUGAAAGCCCCGGGCUCAACCUGGGAACUGCAUUUCGAACUGGCAAACUAGAGUGUGAUAGAGGGUGGUAGAAUUUCAGGUGUAGCGGUGAAAUGCGUAGAGAUCUGAAGGAAUACCGAUGGCGAAGGCAGCCACCUGGGUCAACACUGACGCUCAUGUACGAAAGCGUGGGGAGCAAACGGGAUUAGAUACCCCGGUAGUCCACGCCGUAAACGAUGUCUACUAGAAGCUCGGAACCUCGGUUCUGUUUUUCAAAGCUAACGCAUUAAGUAGACCGCCUGGGGAGUACGGCCGCAAGGUUAAAACUCAAAUGAAUUGACGGGGGCCCGCACAAGCGGUGGAGCAUGUGGUUUAAUUCGAUGCAACGCGAAGAACCUUACCUACACUUGACAUACAGAGAACUUUCUAGAGAUAGAUUGGUGCCUUCGGGAACUCUGAUACAGGUGCUGCAUGGCUGUCGUCAGCUCGUGUUGUGAGAUGUUGGGUUAAGUCCCGCAACGAGCGCAACCCCUAUCCUUAGUUGCUAGCAGGUAAUGCUGAGAACUCUAAGGAGACUGCCGGUGAUAAACCGGANGAAGGUGGGGACGACGUCAAGUCAUCAUGGCCCUUACGUGUAGGGCUACACACGUGCUACAAUGGCGCAUACAGAGUGCUGCGAAC
rnacentral:rRNA from 1 species